rnacentral:tRNA from 1 species
GCGGGGGUAGCCAAGCCUGGUCAAAGGCGCAGGGUUGAGGGCCCUGUCCCGUAGGCCGAGUUGAAAAGGGCGGUCGGGUUCGUGGGUUCGAAUCCCACCCCCCGCA